rnacentral:rRNA from 1 species
AUUGAACGCUGGCGGCAUGCCUUACACAUGCAAGUCGAACGGUAACAGGUCUUCGGAUGCUGACGAGUGGCGAACGGGUGAGUAAUACAUCGGAACGUGCCCGAUCGUGGGGGAUAACGGAGCGAAAGCUUUGCUAAUACCGCAUACGAUCUACGGAUGAAAGCAGGGGACCGCAAGGCCUUGCGCGGACGGAGCGGCCGAUGGCAGAUUAGGUAGUUGGUGGGAUAAAAGCUUACCAAGCCGACGAUCUGUAGCUGGUCUGAGAGGACGACCAGCCACACUGGGACUGAGACACGGCCCAGACUCCUACGGGAGGCAGCAGUGGGAAAUUUUGGACAAUGGGCGAAAGCCUGAUCCAGCCAUGCCGCGUGCAGGAUGAAGGCCUUCGGGUUGUAAACUGCUUUUGUACGGAACGAAAAGACUCUUUCUAAUAAAGAGGGUCCAUGACGGUACCGUAAGAAUAAGCACCGGCUAACUACGUGCCAGCAGCCGCCGUAAGAC